AAAAAAAAACAAACCUAAGUUUUACCCCCAAAUUAACUGCUCAGUAGAUAUCGGAGCGCUGCUCAGCUUCUUGGGGAGUCGGGGGUGGCUUAUGAAACAAGGGCUUGUGUUUUCUGGUCACACCCCUAAAUAAUAAAUCAUCCAGAUUGCAGCCGACCCGUCUCCAGUGAUGAGCAAAUGCACCCCGUGAUUUUUUUCUCUCUCUGAUGGCAUUGAAUACUUGUGCCGUUUGGAAGGAAACCGCGCGCUCCCUAAUGCUGAUAUUCACUUGUGUGUCCGUGUGUCCAUGCACUACUUGCUAUUAUUUUGCAUGCAACAAAAGAAAGCAUUUCUUUACUGCUCUGCCCUACUUGCUGCACUAAAAUAAUCGGGAUAAUUUUUAAUGAAAGGCUCCUAUUUUGCGUAAACUUCCUCAGAAACCACUAAGUUUAGAUUUUAAUUGUUGUUGUUACUAAAACUAUUUUUCCCCCUUUACAAAGGACAGCACCAGUCAUUUUAUAACUAGCUGUGAUAUAACCUUCAAGCUGGCCUAAACUAAAAGGGAGACUUCCCAUUGAAUCUGAAAGCACCCUGGGAAAAAAAAAAGAAAAAAAAAAAAGUGAGACAAAACAGCAAAGGGCAAAAAUUUGGGGGAAAGACUGAAUUCUAAGUUUAAAACAAAUCUUUAAUUCCCCUCUCUCAGAAAGAGAGUUAGAGAGAGCAGACACAAGCAGUCCUCUUCUGGAUCUGACUACUCAGAGAAGAGCAUAAGGUGCUGUGCAUCUUUGUGUCCUAAAUCAAAUGCCUUUGAAACAGGUUUAAAAGAGUGUAUGUGAACUAGCUAAUGAAGCUCUUUCUUCCGGUUGAAUAAGUCGGUGAACCAGACUUUGGUGGAAGUAGAAGUCAUUUUCUCUGAGAUGUGAUCUUUACUGGACCAGGAUAGCUGGAAGACAGAGGGACUCCCACUCCAUUCUUUCAGGAGUUUUCCUCCUGCUCUCUAACAAGGACCAAAAAGCAGUGGAGCUUUUACUUUUGGACCCCAGGAUUGGGGGAUGUCUGGAAAUCCCAUAGAGCCAGGCUCCACCUCUGCUGAUGCAGGAGUCUUGCUGCUGGAGAAACACCACCACCUCCUGAAACCUCCUCUUAGCCACGAUGCCUGGAAAAAACUGGAUGGUGGCUAAGCUGCUGAUGUGUUGAAAACAGUCCCUCUUAUGCUGACCAAUAUUGUUUCCUUGUGCUCCCAUGUCUGCAUCCCUUGUCUUACAUUUCGACUGCAAGCUCUUUGGGGCAAAGACUAUUUUUGUGCUCUGCAUUUGUAUCGUGCCUUGUCCAGCCCUGGGCUAUGACUCCUUGGUGCUAAAAUGAAUCAAUCAAUCUAACAAUAAGGAUUUACAGGACAGGCAAUUUGCAUGCGAUAUGUUAAAGCAAAAACAGAUCCAUACUGUAGAGGGUAGGAGAGAUGUAAGUCUAGACUGUAGAAUGAGUGGCUUGACCAGAAAUAAUUACUCGUAUUACAAGCAGAUGUUUUAAGUUGCCCAGAAAUGAGUAGAAAAUAUGGAAGUGACAAAGCCUUGUGCCCUGGACGCUCUGCAAGAGGGUGUGGACUAUUGGCAGGCGAGAAGUAUUUUCAACACAGGCCAAGUAAAGUCACAGGGAAUAAGCACAUAAAAAUAUUACGGGAUUUUUCAAUGGUUACUGCUGUCAAAGUAUAUGCCAGAAGGCCAGACAUGGUGAUUAUCACAAAAAAGGAUAGAGAAGGCUUUAGCUGCUGAAGGUGGCAAAUACUCAGUUGAAAAUGGAAGAGAAAAUGGAGCAAAUAUGAUCAGUUAAAGCAGGAAUCGAGAGUGGGGGUACAAGGUGUUAGGGAGAGGGAGUGAAAUAUGAGACAAGGACUCAUGUUGGGGACUGACUUUUAGCAGAGCAUGAACAGUAUAAGCAAAAUACCAAUUAGUUGUGGUGCAUUGGGAUAGGGGAAUCAUUGAAUCAAUUGGAAAUCAGCUCUAUAAUAAAAUGACAAGAUCUUCAUAAGUAACCCUAUUGGGCACCUCUCAAGCUGUGAGCAAGACAGUAACAGUUUAAGAUCACUGAUUUCUUUAUUCACCUAAGUCCUAUGUUAGUGAUUGUGCCCUGAUGCUGGACAGUGGAUAGUAAAUACAUAAUAAUAAUCUCACAGAGUUUGUGGCGUGGCCCUUGCUGUCCCAAAGUCAAGGACCUUAGAAAGCGAACAUCAUUGCUCAGGCAUCCACAGGGAUAGUAUCAGAAUCUAUUGGGUUUCCCAAUUUACCUCUUCUUUUUCGAAUGGUGUGCGCAGAAGAAACGAUUUAAGGAGAUCCCAGUGAUGUAUCUGUACAUUUUCUCUCCCUAUGUUUAUGGUCUUGGUUAGAGAACCUAAUGGGCCAGCUUUUAUUUUUGGAUGCAUGAGCACAUCUCUGUCAUGUAUUUCUAUGGAGAUGUGCGAGUACUGAUCUAAGUGCUGUAAUACUUCCUUGUGAUGCCUUUCUCCUGAUGACUCAUUGGGUUAGAUAGACACCUUGCUUCUGAGUCACAGUGAAUUUGAAUUUGUAUUAAGGAGAGUCACAAGGAAACCCAAAUCAUUAUCCUACCUUAGAAAGUUGUAGUUGCCCGCGUUUAGUCCCGGAAAAUGUUCACAUAAUAAAUAUUGUUGUAAAAUGAAUACCGGGGAUGCUUGCUCUACUCUUGCUCUUAAUGAAUGUGCUUUUGAAAUAAACUAGCUCGCCCAGCAUUAGCAUUCAUUUGAUUAAAGAAAACUUUUUAGUUAACAUUUUGUAACAAUGUAAUAAGUAACUUUCAAUUAAAGUUUUCUAUAUAUGGACAAAAA